rnacentral:rRNA from 1 species
GACAGAGGGUGCAAACGUUGCUCGGAAUCACUGGGCGUAAAGGGCGUGUAGGCGGGAAGGAAAGUCGGGCGUGAAAUCCCUGGGCUCAACCCCAGGAACUGCACUCGAAACUUCUUUUCUUGAGUGCCGGAGAGGAAAGCGGAAUACCUGGUGUAGAGGUGAAAUUCGUAGAUAUCAGGAGGAACACCUGUGGCGAAAGCGGCUCACUGGACCAUAACUGACGCUGAUGCACGAAAGCUAGGGGAGCAAACAGG